rnacentral:rRNA from 1 species
AUUGAACGCUGGCGGCAUGCUUUACACAUGCAAGUCGAACGGGCUUGGGGGCUUGCUCCCAAGUUAGUGGCGAACGGGUGAGUAAUACAUCGGAACGUACCGUGUAGUGGGGGAUAACUUAGCGAAAGUUAGGCUAAUACCGCAUACGAUCUACGGAUGAAAGUGGGGACCUUCGGGCCUCACGCUAUACGAGCGGCCGAUGUCUGAUUAGCUAGUUGGUGAGGUAAAGGCUCACCAAGGCGACGAUCAGUAGCGGGUCUGAGAGGAUGAUCCGCCACACUGGGACUGAGACACGGCCCAGACUCCUACGGGAGGCAGCAGUGGGGAAUUUUGGACAAUGGGCGAAAGCCUGAUCCAGCCAUGCCGCGUGUCUGAAGAAGGCC